CUCCCUGUGGCUCAGUUGGUAGAGCAUGGUGUUUGCAAUGCCAGCGUUGUGGGUUCGAUUCCCACAGGGGGC
rnacentral:tRNA from 1 species